rnacentral:rRNA from 1 species
UAUUUUUAUUAAAUAAUUUUACCCGAACAAUAAAGAUCUACACUAUUUUAAUUCUUAGAAAUAAAUGCAUAAUGUAGCAUAAUUAUUAGUAAAAAAUAGUGUAGGGGUGAAACACUUUCAAUUUAUUAAAUAUCUGGAUUAAGCUGAAAUGAAUUAAGUUCAUAAGAUAAUCACAAAGUUAUAAGAUUUUGUGAGAUGAGAAUAAAAAUUAAUAACCUUUAAUGAAAUAAAUUUUAGAUUGGUAGUAUAUAAAGAUAUUAAGAUUUACGCCAAUCUGCAGUGCUAGGCUUACACCCAACAAAAUUAUAGGAAGGGUAAAUAAUGUUUAAAUAAGUAAAUAAAUUAAUCACAACUAAAGGAACUCGGCAAAUAUAAUUUUCAACUAGUUUAUCAAAAACAUAGCUUUAAGAGAAUAUACUUAAGGUCUAACCUGCCCGGUGAUAAAUUUAACGGCCGCAGUACAUUGACUGUGCUAAGGUAGCAUAAUAAGUUGACUUUUAAUUGAAGUCGGGUAUGAAGGGAUAGCUGGAAAUUACCUGUCUCAAGUUGUUAAUAUCGAAAUUACUUAAAAGGUGAAAAUUCCUUUAACUAUAUAUGUUAGACGAGAAGACCCUAAGAAUUAUUACUAAGAAAUUUUGCACUACUAAGUUUUUGUUGGGGCAACAAAUUAGGUUUAACCGAAUUACGAUUAACACUUCCCUGUAAUAGUUUUAUAGAAUGGAAUUAAUUACCUUAGGGAUAACAGCAUAAUUAAAAUAAUAGAUUGUGACCUCGAUGUUGGACUAAGGGCCUUAUUAAAUAGCCUUUAAUAAGGAUAGUUCUGUUCGAACCGAAAACCUUACAU